AUCCAAUUGACGAAUCCCAAAUAGGAUGAAAUGCGUAUCAAACUGGAU
rfam:Schistosoma rodhaini strain Burundi genome assembly, scaffold: SROB_scaffold0000107